CCUUGAGACCUUCACUAUGACUAUCUGCUUGUUUUGAGAGACCUUCAUUAUAACCUUUGAGAUUUUUGAGUCUCUUUCGAAACUCUCGGUCGAUCUUUCUCUCGUUGAAAAUGUUGCGUAGAAUGAUUCCGCGGAGGACAGAGCACUUGUACAGGAAGAGUAUGGUCGGGGAAGAGCGUUUGAUUUGGCUGAAGAAAGAUUGUAUAAGCUGAAGGAAAGUCGAUUCCGACAGAACUCAAUAACGAGGAAGCUGAGCUUCGUCAAGAAAUCGAUCUGGAAGUUGAACACCGCUUGAGUAGUAUGACAGGAAUAUACAGAAGAUAAUUGUGCCUGUUAACACUACAUUGUUAAAUUUUCGUCCCAUAGACACACAUCGAUGAUGCGUCUGAUAGUGGAAUGGAGAGAGAUCCUAAACUUCUACUGACCACAUCUUGGAAUCCAUAUUCCCCUUGUAUACUAUUUGUAAACCUCGCUCUUAUUCUUGAAGACUUGAACUCUCCUAAUUAGGUAUUAAGUACUCUAGAGCUGCACCAUAUUUACCAUAUUUUUGAUGUUGCUUUAUAUAUAGAUGUCUUUAAAUUUGUUGUUACCGUGUCUGUUAGUUUCUUUACAUGAUCAAUUCAUGCCCUAAUGUGCAUCAAAUGACUGGCGGUAGCAUCAUUGGCUAUUAUUUUCUCUUCCCAUUCAUUUUCUUUAUUAAGCUCUGCAUCUAUUUAUUUACUUAUUUAUUGAUGUCUCAUUAUACGUUGGAGAUGGCAUGAUGAAUGUGCAAGGAUGAUCGAGCCUUCUGUUCAAUCACUUUCCUGUUGUCCAGUGGGUUCCGACUAAGACAUUUAAUCUUGUACUUGAGAAUCCAGUCUUUGUUAUUUACAUAUAACUAUGUAUUCGCACUUUUCCUUCACUUAAGAAAAUAUUGUUUCUGUGCUUUUACCAAAAAAAAAUACUCAUGCUGAUGAGGUGUGUCACAACAUGCUCAUUCUGUAUCGGGUUUGAUCCAGCAUUCAUAUAUGUUUUCUUGAACUACUAUAGUGCUAUAGUGUUGUUCAUUUUUUGUUCUAAAAUUAGUAGAUUUACUUCUCACACUGACAAACAAACGUAGAGAAAUCUAUAAAAUCACUUACCAAAACUUUAGAAUUGGAAAGUAUGGAUUUAGCUCAGCAAGGAAUCUUAACCACUAUCAUAUUUGAUAUUUCAAUGUAUCGCUUCAACUUUUGUUUUCCCUCAGCUUAGUCGAGUAUUACUAAACUCUGUGAUACAGUUGGUCGUUGAACUACUGGUUUCUUCCUCUAUGCAGGUUUUUAUCUGAAAUUAUCAAGGAAUAUCGUGCACCUGAUUAUACCCAUGUCGUGUUGGUUCAUGAAUAGCGAAUAUCUUUGUGUUGCUUGUAAGCCAUUUACCUUUUGAUCGGACUGUGAACUUUGAAUUACUCAAUGUCAGUAGUUGGCCUGUCUUCUGUCUUCUGUAGGAAACAGGACAGCAAGGACAAGAAAUCCAACGGAACAAUGCCCUGAGGCAUUCCCAUAUUUGAUACAUAAGCAACUUCUCAAGCAAGGUAACCCUAGUUUUCUACACGGAAGCUUCAAUUGUUACAAAUAAUUUCCACAGCUAGCCAUGUUCACGUCUUGAAUUUGAUUAUUUGUGAUAUGAGAAUGGUUGGUUGCUAUAAUUCUUUCUAUGGAUCUAACUUAUUGAAUUUCACACGAGGGUUCAGUUGA